CGAUAUAGCUCAGUGGUAGAGCAACUCCAUGGUAAGGAGUAGGUCAGCGGUUCAAGUCCGCUUAUCG
rnacentral:tRNA from 1 species